rnacentral:rRNA from 1 species
UACAGAGGUCUCGAGCGUUAGGCGGAAUCACUGGGCUUAAAGCGUGCGCAGGCGGUUAUGCAAGACAGAUGUGAAAUCCCCGGGCUCAACCUGGGAACUGCAUUUGUGACUGUAUAGCUAGAGUACGGUAGAGGGGGAUGGAAUUCCGCGUGUAGCAGUGAAAUGCGUAGAUAUGCGGAGGAACACCGAUGGCGAAGGCAAUCCCCUGGACCUGUACUGACGCUCAUGCACGAAAGCGUGGGGAGCAAACAGG